UCAGAAAUACACGUGGGCACAGAGUUAA
rnacentral:sRNA from 1 species